rnacentral:rRNA from 1 species
GAUGAACGCUGGCGGCGUGCCUAACACAUGCAAGUCGAGCGAUUCUCUUCGGAGAAGAGCGGCGGACGGGUGAGUAACGCGUGGGUAACCUGCCCUGUACACACGGAUAACAUACCGAAAGGUAUGCUAAUACGAGAUAAUAUACUUUUAUCGCAUGGUAGAAGUAUCAAAGCUCCGGCGGUACAGGAUGGACCCGCGUCUGAUUAGCUAGUUGGUAAGGUAACGGCUUACCAAGGCGACGAUCAGUAGCCGACCUGAGAGGGUGAUCGGCCACAUUGGAACUGAAACACGGUCCAAACUCCUACGGGGGGCAGCAGUGGGGAAUAUUGCACAAUGGGCGAAAGCCUGAUGCAGCAACGCCGCGUGAGCGAUGAAGGCCUUCGGGUCGUAAAGCUCUGUCCUCAAAGAAGAUAAUGACGGUACUUGAGGAGGAAGCCCCGGCUAACUACGUGCCAGCCGCCGCGGUAA